AAUAUUAGACAAUGGGGGCAACCCUGAUCCAGCCAUGCCUCGUGUGUGAAGAAGGUCUUCGGAUUGUAAAGCACUUUAAGUUGGGAGGAAGGGCUUUAUGCUCAUCCCCUGAUGUUUUACCGUUACCAACAGAAUAAGCACCGGCUACCUCUGUGCCAGCAGCCGCGGUAAUACAGAGGGUGCAAGCGUUAAUCGGAAUUACUGGGCGUAAAGCGCGCGUAGGUGGUUCAGUAAGAUGGGUGUGAAAUCCCCGGGCUUAACCUGGGAACUGCUUUCAUAACUGCUGAGCUAGAGUACGGUAGAGGGUAGUGGAAUUUCCUGUGUAGCGGUGAAAUGCGUAGAUAUAGGAAGGAACACCAGUGGCGAAGGCGACUACCUGGACUGAUAAUGACACUGAGGUGCGAAAGCGUGGGGAGCAAAC
rnacentral:rRNA from 1 species